rnacentral:rRNA from 1 species
UACGUAGGGUGCAAGCGUUAUUCGGAUUUACUGGGCGUAAAGCGCAUGUAGGUGGUUUAGUAAGUUUGAUGUGAAAUCCCUGGACUCAAUUCAGGAACCGCAUCGAAUACUGCUUUACUCGAGUGUAGGAGGGGAGAACGGAAUUUCUGGUGUAGAGGUGAAAUUCGUAGAUAUCAGAAGGAACAACAGUGGCGAAGGCGGUUCUCUAGACUAUAACUGACACUGAGAUGCGACAGCGUGGGGAGCAAACAGG